UGAAAAGUAAAUUUACUUAUUUUUUAGAUGAUAAAAACAAUCAUACUUAUUUUAAAAUAUUCAAACAGUAUAUAAGUGUAUAAGGUAAAUUUCUUAUUAUCUGCUCCCACCCCAACUAAUCUGGACAAUCACACACAAAUAGGAUCUACUGUAAUACUAUUUUUCAACUUGCUUCCCUCCACCCCCACUUAACAAUAAACAAUGUAUAUAUAAAAUAAUGUAUGUAUAAACCAACGCAUAUAUUGGGUCUGUUUUACCCUAUCGGUAAAAACAGAUCUGCUGCUAAUGUAAUGGAAAUAAUCAAAACAAAACUAAGGACUUUUAAACCUGAGGAUUAAUUCUUAUGCAUUAGAAUUUAAUAUGGAGAAAUAGGGAAAUCAUUCUGUUACCGAAAUUAUUUACAAAAUACCAUCCUUAACUGACAACCUUUAGUCCCGUAUCUUCAUAAAAGCAGCUUAGAGUGCCUGAAGGGUUUUGAGGGUUCUGCAAGGUGUGUCAUAUUAUAGCUCACAUCAGUGCACAUUGAUGUAUCUCUCUGGCAAGAACUGAAAGAUACAGUUCUUAAAUCCCCUGCUGACCCAUUAUCCAUGGAUCAUUGACAAGAUAGAAUGUAAUAGCUCCUGUCUUUUUACCAAGGUAAACCUCCCAGUGAAACUGCAUUGUUCAUGCCCUACAUCUUUUAUCUAAAUAAGAAAAUGAAUAUAGGGAAAAAAACUAUGUUAAGUAGAUAAUAUAAAUACUUUCAUAUUCUUUAUUAUAUUUUAAUAUUUGUUGAAUGAGGAAACAUAAACUGUUUAAUUGCAGGGGCUGAGACUAAGAAAGUUUUCCCAUAACCUAUCUUUCCAAAUAGAUCAUCUUAAAUACAAGGCUAAAGGAAUUGCAUAAGAUCCAGCAUUUAGAACACCAAAUUAAACUAAUAGACAUGUUGCCUAUUUAAGGACAGCAUUAAAACAGUAGUUCAGUUGGUGUUAUGGGUCAGAAUUUAACAUUUCCCAUUAUCUUGAUCUAAAAAGUCAAUGUUUCUCUACUCUAAAAGUUAUUUCAUUUGUGAACUGGGUCAUAAAGAGUCAUAAGCUCUCAGAGGGAUUUAUUCACAGACCUCGGCAAUGUUUACCAUGUGGCACUGUGUUUUUGCAACAUCACAUAUUGACAGUGCUGUGUUGUAAAUUUCAUAAUGCGAUGACAGGACAUGGCCAUAUUUUUAUGUGGUUCUGAUCAAGAUCCAUCUGAAAGCUCCUUAUUUUAUGUUAGUCUUCUUGACUUCUAAAAGAAUUCUGCCAUAUUUCUAUCUGUUUAAAUCUAGAAAAGGUUAGAAAUAGAAAGAUGAUGCUCUUGUCAACUUGAUUAACACUUCAUUUCCUGCCCGGGGCAAAAUAAAAAAAGAAAAUGAAAAAAUAAAUACAUAACUUGACCAACCAUCUCAGUAAGAAUAUGGGCAAGUGAAUCAGAUAUUUGGCCUAGACCAGUGAAAUUAAAGAUACAUAUCCCUUUAACUCAGUGAUUCCACUAGAGAAACUCAAACACAUCUGCAGAAAGAUACAUGGGCAGGAAUAUUCUCUGAAAUAUUGUUUGUAAUAGAGAAAAACUAAAAAAAAAUCAAUGUCCCCUAGCAUGAGAAUGGGUAAAUAAAUAAUCAAUAUUCACAUAAUAGAACACCAUAUAGUAGUUAAAAUGACCCGUUUAGCAGUAAACGUAUCAGCAUGGAUUAAUCUCAAGCACAUAAUGUUGUAUGGGAAAAAAAUAAUUUGCAGAAUGAUGAGUACCUAUCAUUCAUAUAAAUUUUGGAGACAUGUAGUUCAUAAAACUGUAGUGAAAGUAUAAGAUGUUCUUGGAAAUAAUAAGCACCAGAGUCUGCAUAGUGGGUACCUUUGGAGAGAAAGAGGAAAGAAAUUAGAGACCAGUACAUAUUGAGGGGGGAUUUCAGUUGUAUUUAUGAUAUUUUAUUUCUUCAUUAUAUCUGAAGCAAAUAUAGAAAUUAAGACUUGGAAAAGCUGAGGGAUAAAUAGAGGGGUGUUUGUCAUAUUAGUCUCUCUACUGUCCUAUAUACUUGGAAAUUUUCAUAAUAAACCGUUUUCAAAAAAGAAUCAGAUAUUAGAGCUGAAAGGGACUUUAGGAAAUGUCUAAUAAUUGGAUUUUUAGUGAGUAGCUACUCUGUGAUGUUAGGAUUACUCUGAUGAUGUUAGGAUUACUCUGGUGCAUCAGAGACACAAGGGCUCUACACCCUUGGAGCUUACAUUCUACCAGAAAGAGACCAAAUUUAAAAUUAAACAGAAUAUUAACAUGGACCAUACAGAGGAUUUCAUUUCAUUUGAGGAUGAAGAAAUUGAGGUGCAAAAAAGUCAAGUGAUUUUCCCAAGGUACAAGCCAAUUCUAGAACUUUGCCUUCCUCUCUGUCUUUCUACAUACUUCUAUUUUCCUCUGGUCUCCCUCUAACCUAAUGUUAUUCUAAUUAUUGAUGGUGUUAGGCACAAGCACAUUGCCAGUGUCUCACUUGUUUGUAGCCAUCUGUUUGGCAUAGGUACAAAUUUGUCAAAUACUAAAACUUAACUAAAUAGCUUUAAAAUUGUUGAAUAUUUUGAACAUGACAUUAAAUUACAACCUUCUCAUAUUAGGUAGGUCAGCAUUAUCUUUGUUUCAUGGGUGAAGAAAGAGAUGAAUGGGGGAGUAGCUGUGGGGUGAAGUAAAUUGCCUAAGGCUCUGUAGGAAACAAGAGUGACAGGUUCUGGAUCAGAAUUCAGAACUCUGACUUAAUCUAAUGCAAAAUCUGGAGUACCUUUCUUGCUGAUCUUCCCUUUUAGGUUAAUGUGCCUCACUUCCACACAUUCCUGUAAAGCUAACACUCUUGAAAAUUGUAAGAAAAGGGCCCUUACCACUAAUACCUUGUCAGAUAAAUUGAGUAUUUUUCACCUUCAAAGUUUUGAAUUCAUUGGUAAACAUGUUUAAUGUAAACUUUUAUGUCCAUCUAAGUGUGCAAACUCUUCUCUCCAGAUGGCCUCAAAGAACAUUCAGGGAAAUCAUUUUCCAAACCAUAACUGUUCUAUUCAGAGCUUUGAAGACAGAUAUCAGGUCUUCAGAACCAAUGAAGAAGAAACCAUUACUUAUCAAAGAAGGCUUCUAUGGACGUAUGUAGAAGGUUCCCCUGUCAGUGAGGGUGGAAGAGAGGGGAUAAGGAAGACUCACUGGAGAAGGUAAAUGUGGUUUCAAUGGUGAGAGAACAUUCAGGUGAGUUUCUCCGAAUGAAGUAUGCUCUCCUGGUAAUGAUCAUAGUAAUGGCAAAUAGCAGGGUUUUUUUAAAGCAUAAUCCAUGACACAAAAUUCUUUUUAGACGCUCUGAGAAAAAGGAAUUUUGUAGUCAAAUACAUCUGAAACUUAACAAUGUAUGCUAACAACUAAUGUCUCUGAACAGUCUGGCAGUAAAGAAACCUGAUUAACACAGUAUAACCCAGCAUUUCCCAUACUACCCUGACCAUAACCAUCCUUUCUUGUUGUUGGGGGGAUACCUGGGGGAAGACCUAU
rnacentral:lncRNA from 1 species